rnacentral:rRNA from 1 species
UACGAAGGUGGCAAGCGUUGUUCGGAUUUACUGGGCGUACAGGGAGCGUAGGCGGUUGGGUAAGCCCUUCGUGAAAUCUCCGGGCCUAACCCGGAAAGUGCGGAGGGGACUGCUCGGCUAGAGGAUGGGAGAGGAGCGCGGAAUUCCCGGUGUAGCGGUGAAAUGCGUAGAGAUCGGGAGGAAGGCCGGUGGCGAAGGCGGCGCUCUGGAACAUUUCUGACGCUGAGACACGAAAGCGUGGGUAGCAAACAGG